GGAGUGAUACUCAAGAGGCUGAAGAGGCGCCCCUGCUAAGGGUGUAGGGUGGGUAACUGCCGCGAGGGUUCAAAUCCCUCUCACUCCG
rnacentral:tRNA from 2 species